rnacentral:rRNA from 1 species
UGGCGGCGUGCCUAAUACAUGCAAGUCGAGCGGACAGAUGGGAGCUUGCUCCCUGAUGUUAGCGGCGGACGGGUGAGUAACACGUGGGUAACCUGCCUGUAAGACUGGGAUAACUCCGGGAAACCGGGGCUAAUACCGGAUGGUUGUUUGAACCGCAUGGUUCAAACAUAAAAGGUGGCUUCGGCUACCACUUACAGAUGGACCCGCGGCGCAUUAGCUAGUUGGUGAGGUAACGGCUCACCAAGGCAACGAUGCGUAGCCGACCUGAGAGGGUGAUCGGCCACACUGGGACUGAGACACGGCCCAGACUCCUACGGGAGGCAGCAGUAGGGAAUCUUCCGCAAUGGACGAAAGUCUGACGGAGCAACGCCGCGUGAGUGAUGAAGGUUUUCGGAUCGUAAAGCUCUGUUGUUAGGGAAGAACAAGUACCGUUCGAAUAGGGCGGUACCUUGACGGUACCUAACCAGAAAGCCACGGCUAA